rnacentral:rRNA from 1 species
UACAGAGGUCUCAAGCGUUUGUUCGGAUUCAUUGGGCGUAAAGGGUGCGUAGGCGGCGCGGUAAGUCGGGUGUGAAAUCUCGGGCUUAACUCCGAAACUGCAUUCGAUACUGCCGUGCUUGAGGACUGGAGAGGAGACUGGAAUUUACGGUGUAGCGGUGAAAUGCGUAGAUAUCGUAAGGAAGACCAGUGGCGAAGGCGGGUCUCUGGACAGUUCCUGACGCUGAGGCACGAAGGCAGGGGAGCAAACGGG